rnacentral:misc_RNA from 1 species
AAAAAAAAAAAAAAAAAUCUUAUAAUAAUUUACCUCUUUGCUAUUAUGUUAAUAAUCAUUGAUUUUUGAAGUAAAAAUCAUGUACAUCAGACUUCCCCCUAAUACAUGGGAUUUAGUCCCAACUUCAUGUCUAUGGAGAACCAUUUGAUUAAACCGAAGAAGUCCCACCCUUUUUAUUGUGACAGGUCUUCAUAAUUUUACCUUUUGAUUCUUAUGAAUCUUCACAAAUUCUUUGGUAUCUGCAACAUCAUUUGAUUGUCUUUGUUGUUUGCACCUAUGGUUGAUCUUUUGGAAUCUUGGUAUGAUAAUUUAGUGUAAACAAUGUAUGUAACUUGUGUUAUUAUUUUAUGUUGUGAAAAAAGAUUGCAUUAUUCAAUUGGCUUGUAAACUAGUCAAGUUAUUCAAAAUAAUUUGCCCCUUUUCUGAGUUUAAUUUGGCAAUUUUUGGUUAAUUUACAAUGCAUAAAAUUUGUUCUCACGCAAUGGAUAUAUAUGGUGGGUUUUUAUAUGAUAUAUGCGUACUGUUGCUAAUGUUGUUGAUUGGGAUUUUGAAAAUU